UUCCGGUUGAUCCUGCCGGAGGCCAUUGCUAUCGGAGUCCGAUUUAGCCAUGCUAGUCGCACGGGUUCAGACCCGUGGCGAACAGCUCAGUAACACGUGGCCAAACUGCCCUGUGGAUCGGGAUAACCUCGGGAAACUGAGGCUAAUCCCGAAUACGGCUCCCGUCCUGGAGUGGAGGGAGCUGGAAACGUUCCGGCGCCACAGGAUGUGGCUGCGGCCGAUUAGGUAGACGGUGGGGUAACGGCCCACCGUGCCGAUAAUCGGUACGGGUCGUGAGAGCGAGAGCCCGGAGACGGUAUCUGAGACAAGAUACCGGGCCCUACGGGGCGCAGCAGGCGCGAAACCUUUACACUGCACGACAGUGCGAUAGGGGGACUCCGAGUGCGAGGGCGUACAGUCCUCGCUUUUCUCGACCGUAAGGAGGUCGAGGAACAAGUGCUGGGCAAGACCGGUGCCAGCCGCCGCGGUAACACCGGCAGCACGAGUGAUGGCCGCUGUUAUUGGGCCUAAAGCGUCCGUAGCCGGCCGGGCAAGUCCGUCGGGAAAUCCACCAGCCCAACUGGUGGGCGCCCGGCGGAAACUGUUCGGCUUGGGGCCGGAAGACCCGAGGGGUACGUCCGGGGUAGGAGUGAAAUCCCGUAAUCCCGGACGGACCGCCGGUGGCGAAAGCGCCUCGGGAGGACGGACCCGACGGUGAGGGACGAAAGCUGGGGUCUCGAACCGGAUUAGAUACCCGGGUAGUCCCAGCCGUAAACGAUGCCCGCUAGGUGUGCCGCAGGCCACGAGCCUGCGCUGUGCCGUAGGGAAGCCGUGAAGCGGGCCGCCUGGGAAGUACGUCUGCAAGGAUGAAACUUAAAGGAAUUGGCGGGGGAGCACUACAACCGGAGGAGCCUGCGGUUUAAUUGGACUCAACGCCGGA
rnacentral:rRNA from 1 species